UUGUCCUUCUUCUAAUAUCAGCUUUAAAUUUUUCAUUGACCGCUAAGCGUAUGAACUACAUUGGCAGUUCAUUUAACUUUUAUCAACUCAAUAAUCUCGAGAAUGUUACUUGACUUUAACUUCAGUUUCAUUGUUUGAAGAAAGGAGCAUUUUAUUAUUACUCCCUCGAGUAAAAGGCGAAUAAAUUGUUAAUAGAUGGCAUGUUUUUCAUCUUGUCAGUUGGAUGCAAUAAACUAUUGUCCGGUCGUUAUUGGUUUCUUUGUUUGUUACUGAUGCGGAUAUUGCCAUUUUUAUGAUUUUUCUCAGUUGAAUUAUGAUCUGAAACUUCGAUGGUUUACCGGUACUGGUCUGCAUGAUUAACAUCUCAUUAUGUUGGUUACAGGAGCUAGUGGAAACAUAAGCAAUUGUCCCUAAGGGAAAAUCUGUUUCAAGGAAAUAAAUAAUUCCUUUCAAUUUCACAUUGAUGUGACCGCAGUAUGAUGGCACAUGGUUUUUAGCAUUUCGUUUGAUCUUCUCUGUAAAAGUGUCAAAGAAUAUAUCUUGAGAAUAAUAGCAUCUUUACCCCAGCAAUUGAUUUUCUUUUGUCAUAUAGACAUUAGAUUUAGAGUUGAGUAUCAGUAAAUCUACUUUUUACAUUAUAUUAGCAUUGCCACUUCUUUUGGGAUUUUGAAUUUUGUGAAGUAUGGCGUUUUAGCACCUCCAUGCCUGUCAAUUGCUUUUGUAUUAAACAUUUUGUACUUUUUACUCGAAAUCUUCUCCAGGAUUAGAAGAAAAGUGGAGCCAGAACCUCUCUAUGCAUCUUGAUCUCCUCUGGCAGAUUCAAAAGAUCAGUUUUUAUAAAAUGGAUGCUGUGGCAUGUGCACCUCAAGCAAGACUGUAUUUUUCUCAGUUGUAACCUUUGAAAUUGGUCAUAUGUUAAAUGUUCCUCCGUUUCAUGUAUAUCACAAAUAAUAAUAAAAAGCUGUUAUCAGCACUAUAAUGUUAUAAUUAUAACAGUUCGUCUUUGUUACCAGAAUUAGGUUUACUGAAGCUGCAUGUAGGUAAUGAAACUUCACUAAUUAAAUUUUGCUAGGUUAAUUUUCUCUAAAUUAUCAAGCAGUAAUUGACUCUUUAUUUGUCGCAAAUGCAAGUACCACUUUUCUUAUCAGUGCACAGAGUUAAUUUGACUGCUUGUUAAAGUUUAUUUGUUGCUGCUGCUGCUGUACAAUUUGUGGAACAGCAUUUAAAACUCACUUUUGCAAAGAGAAAAGUUGCUACCUUUUUAAAUUUUUUAUUGCACCAUGGACUUCUGGGUAGUCGAAAAGAACCUUUUCUUUCAAUGUAGUAUUGGUAGUGCAAAAAGAAUGAGUUUCUGAAAUACCAGAUGGAUCUGAUUUUUCCGCCAAUAAAAUUACAUGGUUUAGUAAGUCUCCCCUUUCUGUUAUAUUUUCAGAUGGUCUAGUGAGAAGGUUUAUUAGAGGUGAACAGGGGGUCUACUUUGAUCGGCCUUCCCCUUCUUAUGAGCUAAAGGAUUUUGUGCCUAUUGAAGUAAAAGCUGGUUCUUUGGUCAUUAUUCAUGGUGAUCUUAUUCAUCAAAGGUAACAGCUUGAAAAAUACAAUGAAGUGAGGACUGCUAUAUUUCUCAACAGCUGAUGGAUUCAAAAUUCACCUUUUUCUUUCUCAUCUUAUGCUUGGGCUGCAGUUUUGAGAAUCGGUCCCCAAAAUCAAGGCAUGCCUACAGCUUGCAUGUCGUGGAUACUGAUGGCUGCAAAUGGGCACAAGACAAUUGGUGAGUUGUCCUUCUUCUAAUAUCAGCUUUAAAUUUUUCAUUGACCGCUAAGCGUAUGAACUACAUUGGCAGUUCAUUUAACUUUUAUCAACUCAAUAAUCUCGAGAAUGUUACUUGACUUUAACUUCAGUUUCAUUGUUUGAAGAAAGGAGCAUUUUAUUAUUACUCCCUCGAGUAAAAGGCGAAUAAAUUGUUAAUAGAUGGCAUGUUUUUCAUCUUGUCAGUUGGAUGCAAUAAACUAUUGUCCGGUCGUUAUUGGUUUCUUUGUUUGUUACUGAUGCGGAUAUUGCCAUUUUUAUGAUUUUUCUCAGUUGAAUUAUGAUCUGAAACUUCGAUGGUUUACCGGUACUGGUCUGCAUGAUUAACAUCUCAUUAUGUUGGUUACAGGAGCUAGUGGAAACAUAAGCAAUUGUCCCUAAGGGAAAAUCUGUUUCAAGGAAAUAAAUAAUUCCUUUCAAUUUCACAUUGAUGUGACCGCAGUAUGAUGGCACAUGGUUUUUAGCAUUUCGUUUGAUCUUCUCUGUAAAAGUGUCAAAGAAUAUAUCUUGAGAAUAAUAGCAUCUUUACCCCAGCAAUUGAUUUUCUUUUGUCAUAUAGACAUUAGAUUUAGAGUUGAGUAUCAGUAAAUCUACUUUUUACAUUAUAUUAGCAUUGCCACUUCUUUUGGGAUUUUGAAUUUUGUGAAGUAUGGCGUUUUAGCACCUCCAUGCCUGUCAAUUGCUUUUGUAUUAAACAUUUUGUACUUUUUACUCGAAAUCUUCUCCAGGAUUAGAAGAAAAGUGGAGCCAGAACCUCUCUAUGCAUCUUGAUCUCCUCUGGCAGAUUCAAAAGAUCAGUUUUUAUAAAAUGGAUGCUGUGGCAUGUGCACCUCAAGCAAGACUGUAUUUUUCUCAGUUGUAACCUUUGAAAUUGGUCAUAUGUUAAAUGUUCCUCCGUUUCAUGUAUAUCACAAAUAAUAAUAAAAAGCUGUUAUCAGCACUAUAAUGUUAUAAUUAUAACAGUUCGUCUUUGUUACCAGAAUUAGGUUUACUGAAGCUG
rnacentral:lncRNA from 1 species